rnacentral:rRNA from 1 species
GUCGAGCGAGCUUGCCUAGAUGAUUUUAGUGCUUGCACUAAAUGAAACUAGAUACAAGCGAGCGGCGGACGGGUGAGUAACACGUGGGUAACCUGCCCAAGAGACUGGGAUAACACCUGGAAACAGAUGCUAAUACCGGAUAACAACACUAGACGCAUGUCUAGAGUUUGAAAGAUGGUUCUGCUAUCACUCUUGGAUGGACCUGCGGUGCAUUAGCUAGUUGGUAAGGUAACGGCUUACCAAGGCAAUGAUGCAUAGCCGAGUUGAGAGACUGAUCGGCCACAUUGGGACUGAGACACGGCCCAAACUCCUACGGGAGGCAGCAGUAGGGAAUCUUCCACAAUGGACGAAAGUCUGAUGGAGCAACGCCGCGUGAGUGAAGAAGGGUUUCGGCUCGUAAAGCUCUGUUGGUGGUGAAGAAAGAUAGAGGUAGUAACUGGCCUUUAUUUGACGGUAAUUACUUAGAAAGUCACGGCUAACUACGUGCCAGCAGCCGCGGUAAUACGUAGGUGGCAAGCGUUGUCCGGAUUUAUUGGGCGUAAAGCGAGUGCAGGCGGUUCAAUAAGUCUGAUGUGAAAGCCUUCGGCUCAACCGGAGAAUUGCAUCAGAAACUGUUGAACUUGAGUGCAGAAGAGGAGAGUGGAACUCCAUGUGUAGCGGUGGAAUGCGUAGAUAUAUGGAAGAACACCAGUGGCGAAGGCGGCUCUCUGGUCUGCAACUGA